AUGGCGUUUUAUAUAAACAUGUGGACACAAACUUGAAAAGACCAGCAAAUUCUAGAAUAUUCUCGCGUGUUUUUAUGACAAGUAACGAUAGCGAUUACCUACCAUGCUGGGUGUGGGUACUAACUACCAUGAUGGGUAUUUUCAUAUUUUGGUUUAUUUUUCUAGCGAUUCUCCCAACAAUGUGUACCUAAGUACAUAAGUAAUAGUUGUUUGUUAAAAUUGUUAAACUUUAUAUUUACAGCUACGUAUAUUACAUUGACAAAUGGAAAGAAACUUUUGUUGAUCGGCGAUUACACGUUUUGUGUGGCAGGCCGUUUAAGUAAGGGCAGGAACAGACACGUCUGUUCAAGUUACUGGAGCAGGAGAUGCCGGGCUUAUGCCCAUGUUAGCGAAGACGACGUCAUUUUGAAAGCAGUCACGGAGCAUAAUCAUCCACCAGGGAGAUUAAUGAAGACAAAAUCAGGAACUUACAUUAAAGUAUGGAAUAGUUCCGAACACAGAAGUACCGAACCUGCCUAAGCUAAAUAUAUAACUUUGGCCCGUGGCACAAAACUACUUCUCCUCAACGACUAUUCGUACUGCCUGAACGGACAGAUUCGUCAAGGCGGCUCUCGCUAUGCGUGCUCCUCUUACUGGACCAAGAAAUGUAAGGCGUACGCGCACGUCAGCAAAGAUGACGUCAUUUUGAAGGCGAACACUGAGCAUAACCAUCCUCCUAUUAAAUACAUGAGAACUAUCUCGGGAUUGUAUGUUAAAGUAGGAAAUUAGAUUAAGUAUCUAUAAAAAGUUUUAUUAUGUUAUGGAUAAAAUAAAGAGGCAUUUAACGAGUUUUCU